rnacentral:rRNA from 1 species
GAUGAACGCUGGCGGCGUGCCUAAUACAUGCAAGUCGAACGCAUUGAGAGAAGUGCUUGCACUUUUCAAUUUGAGUGGCGAACGGGUGAGUAACACGUGGGCAACCUACCUGAUAGCGGGGGAUAACGAGUGGAAACAUUCGCUAAUACCGCAUAACAAUAGAGAAGGCAUCUUCUUUAUUUAAAAGGCGCUUUCAAGCGUCACUAUCAGAUGGGCCCGCGGUGCAUUAGUUAGUUAGUGGGGUGAAGGCCUACCAAGACGAUGAUGCAUAGCCGAGUUGAGAGACUGCUCGGCCACAUUGGGACUGAGACACGGCCCAAACUCCUACGGGAGGCUGCAGUAGGGAAUCUUCCACAAUGGACGAAAGUCUGAUGGAGCAACGCCGCGUGUGUGAUGAAGGCUUUCGGGUCGUAAAGCACUGUUGUAUGGGAAGAAAUGCUAGGCUAGGAAAUGAGCUUAGUUUGACGGUACCAUACCAGAAAGGGACGGCUAAAUACGUGCCAGCAGCCGCAGUAA